GGGGAUGUUGCUCAAUGGUAGGGCGUUCGCUUUGCAUGUGAAAGGUCCCUGGUUCAAACAACCCCGGCAUCUUCA